UGUCAGCUAAACAAAGUAAAAUGCAGGGCCAAUGCAUAUUACAAUUUGUAAUUAGCCAGGUAUGGCUGGAAGGGGUAAUUGAAAAUUCAAAUCUUAUGUCAAAUUGAAUUUGAAUUUUCCAGACUUUGCCUAAAAUGGCAAAGGGCCAACAAGCUGAAAAGAUUUUGUGGAAACCUUAUUUAUCCAAACUGGUUGAGCAUAUUCAAAUUCAUUAGAAAAUUUCCUAAUAAACAUUUAAUUUUUUAUUAAUGUCGAAAGAGACAUCAUUUAAAAAAUUAAGAAUUUCAAUAACA
rnacentral:lncRNA from 1 species